UCGAUUUUUAAAGAUGUGCUGGCACUCCCUUCACCGGUUUGCAUGUGCACUCUGCAAAAUCUCCUUCUCUCACCCCACUGUGCACACUCAAGUAGACAAACAGAGUUGCAGAGCAAUCUGUGUAAUUCCUGAUUUGCCUAUGUUUUUAUCACACACCAAUAACAAUAUCAGAAUGAUCUAUACAGUAAGCUUUUAACAAGCUGAAAUUUAAUA
rnacentral:misc_RNA from 1 species